UACGUAGGGGGCUAGCGUUGUCCGGAAUCAUUGGGCGUAAAGCGCGUGUAGGCGGUCCGGUAAGUCCGCUGUGAAAGUCGGGGGCUCAACCCUCGAAUGCCGGUGGAUACUGUCGGGCUAGAGUGCGGAAGAGGCGAGUGGAAUUCCUGGUGUAGCGGUGAAAUGCGCAGAUAUCAGGAGGAACACCAAUAGCGAAGGCAGCUCGCUGGGACGGUACUGACGCUAAGGCGCGAAAGCGUGGGGAGCGAACAGG
rnacentral:rRNA from 1 species